rnacentral:rRNA from 1 species
UACGUAGGGUGCGAGCGUUGUCCGGAAUUAUUGGGCGUAAAGAGCUUGUAGGCGGUCUGUCGCGUCUGCUGUGAAAAUCCGGGGCUCAACCCCGGACUUGCAGUGGGUACGGGCAGACUAGAGUGUGGUAGGGGAGACUGGAAUUCCUGGUGUAGCGGUGAAAUGCGCAGAUAUCAGGAGGAACACCGAUUGCGAAGGCAGCUCGCUGGGACGUUACUGACGCUGAGACGCGAAAGCGUGGGGAGCAAACAGG